rnacentral:rRNA from 1 species
UUCCAGGAAAAGCCUCUAAGCAUCAGGUAACAUCAAAUCGUACCCCAAACCGACACAGGUGGUCAGGUAGAGAAUACCAAGGCGCUUGAGAGAACUCGGGUGAAGGAACUAGGCAAAAUGGUGCCGUAACUUCGGGAGAAGGCACGCUGAUAUGUAGGUGAAGUCCCUCGCGGAUGGAGCUGAAAUCAGUCGAAGAUACCAGCUGGCUGCAACUGUUUAUUAAAAACACAGCACUGUGCAAACACGAAAGUGGACGUAUACGGUGUGACGCCUGCCCGGUGCCGGAAGGUUAAUUGAUGGGGUCAGCGCAAGCGAAGCUCUUGAUCGAAGCCCCGGUAAACGGCGGCCGUAACUAUAACGGUCCUAAGGUAGCGAAAUUCCUUGUCGGGUAAGUUCCGACCUGCACGAAUGGCGUAAUGAUGGCCAGGCUGUCUCCACCCGAGACUCAGUGAAAUUGAACUCGCUGUGAAGAUGCAGUGUACCCGCGGCAAGACGGAAAGACCCCGUGAACCUUUACUAUAGCUUGACACUGAACAUUGAGCCUUGAUGUGUAGGAUAGGUGGGAGGCUUAGAAGUGUGGACGCCAGUCUGCAUGGAGCCGACCUUGAAAUACCACCCUUUAAUGUUUGAUGUUCUAACGUUGACCCGUAAUCCGGGUUGCGGACAGUGUCUGGUGGGUAGUUUGACUGGGGCGGUCUCCUCCUAAAGAGUAACGGAGGAGCACGAAGGUUGGCUAAUCCUGGUCGGACAUCAGGAGGUUAGUGCAAUGGCAUAAGCCAGCUUGACUGCGAGCGUGACGGCGCGAGCAGGUGCGAAAGCAGGUCAUAGUGAUCCGGUGGUUCUGAAUGGAAGGGCCAUCGCUCAACGGAUAAAAGGUACUCCGGGGAUAACAGGCUGAUACCGCCCAAGAGUUCAUAUCGACGGCGGUGUUUGGCACCUCGAUGUCGGCUCAUCACAUCCUGGGGCUGAAGUAGGUCCCAAGGGUAUGGCUGUUCGCCAUUUAAAGUGGUACGCGAGCUGGGUUUAGAACGUCGUGAGACAGUUCGGUCCCUAUCUGCCGUGGGCGCUGGAGAACUGAGGGGGGCUGCUCCUAGUACGAGAGGACCGGAGUGGACGCAUCACUGGUGUUCGGGUUGUCAUGCCAAUGGCACUGCCCGGUAGCUAAAUGCGGAAGAGAUAAGUGCUGAAAGCAUCUAAGCACGAAACUUGCC